rnacentral:miRNA from 1 species
AAACAUCCUCUCCUGCCCCCAGU